AUUGUAUCUAGGAAUAGAAAAUGCCCAAUAGCUAAUCAUGUUCUGCUGCAAAAAAAGAAAGCAUAGUCCCUUUUUAAAAAAGCAAGAGACAGAGUGCUUACCCCCAGAAAAGGGAAAAAUCCCCAAACGUUUAUGCUGAGUUAACACUGAGAAUGAAGAGUGGCAGCUUUGCUUCUUCCCUUCACUAUUCGUUUUGGUUUGAAGUACAGAGGAAAGGAUGCAUGAGCCAUGCUGGAGCAGUGUGCCUGCCUGCAUCGUGUGGCAGUAAGCAAUGCAGAGAAUUUUAUAAGGUCUCUGUGAUGUUUGUCUCCUUCCUAGAUGGCACCGAGUCCUCUGAGAUGCGCUACGGAAAUGAUGAGAACGACUUCUGAGGCUGUGAGCGGUGGCUGAUGAGAGAAGCUAAAGAGAGGAACCUCAAAAUUGAACAGAUUGAUAUGGAAUGAAGGGGCAUUUCAUAGCAAAUGCAUGAAGAGGAGACCUUCAUCCUGUGACUACUUCGCUUCCUGACCUCUGGAGGCAGCUGCAGGCUUGAAGCACUAACAGCAACACGGGAGCCUUAGAUUUUUUUUUAUCUUAAGCUUUUACUUUGAACUUCGUAAGUCAGUGUAUGCUAAGGAGGGCAUUUUAAAGGAAGCUGCAGUUGAACCGUACAAAUUCAUCUUCUUACUGGCUGGAAAACAGCUUAUUUUGUAAGUCAGAGACCCAGAAUUCCUUCAGAUUUUCAAGUGAAGUUCCAGUGGAUAUGAUGCCCCUUAAUUAUUGAUGUACAGCUCCAGGCUUUCAUUACAUGGUCUGAUUUACUUUUUCCAUAAAGUAAGAGCUCUUUCACAUCAGAUAACACUGUGCUGUCACUGUUUCCUUCCCUGCACAUUCCUCUUUGGAUUUUCACUUCUCUUUAUGUUAUGCUGAAGUAGAAUCUUAAAAUAAGUUUUACUGUAUUCAUUAUUCACGUCCUUGUUGCUGCUUUGAGGCUCAGAAUGAAAUGCAUUUCUUCUCAAAAGAAAGUAAGGGUUAAGCAGAGUGUGAAGAAAACUGCUGAUUCUUUUUUUCCUGUCCACGCCCAACUUUGCAGAAAUUGGGUCCCUUCUGCUUAAAAUCAAUCAGUCAGCAACUAUUAGAAAAGUUCUUUUAGUUUUUGUAUGCUGUAUAAGGUCAGUUGUGUUAUUUGUCCGUGGCAGCAUCUGUAGCUAUUUCGUUCAGGGAUUAGUUUUAGCAGAACAGUACAGAAAAUGGUACAACAGUUAAAUGUGAUGUGACAUUAGGAGGGAAAACCCUUUGGAACUUAAGCAUCUUUCACGAGGCUGGCAGAGAUAACAUUCUGCCUGCUCCUGAAAAGUGGGACUGCUCUCCUCUGAAACACUUCAUCCUCAUUUACAUGUAGGGGUGUGUGAUGCACUUGUAGUCUGUUAAAGUGAUCUGUGGUCAAAGCUUAUAGCAGGACAGGUAAGCAGGAAUU